GAACGCACCUUGCGCCCUUUGGCUAUUCUGAAGGGCAUGCCUGUUUGAGUAUCAUGAACACCUCAACUCUCAUGGUCCAUCCAUGAUGAGCUUGGACUUUGGGGGUCUUGCUGGCCUAGCGUCGGCUCCUCUCAAAUGGAUCAGCUUGCCAGUGUCUGGUGGCAUCACGGGUGUGAUAACUAUCUACGCUUGUGGUUUCCUGCCAUAUAACCUUCAGUGAUGGAGGUUCGCUGGAGCUCACAGAUGUCUCUCCUCGGUGAGGACAGCUUUUUGAAAGUUUGAUCUCAAAUCAGGUAGGACUACCCGCUGAACUUA
rnacentral:misc_RNA from 1 species